rnacentral:rRNA from 1 species
CCAGCAGCUGCGGUAAUUCCAGCUCCAAUAGCGUAUAUUUAAGUUGUUGCAGUUAAAAAGCUCGUAGUUGGAUUUCGGGUGGGUUUCAGCGGUCCGCCUUUGGUGAGUACUGCUGCGGCCUUCCUUUCUGCCGGGGACGGGCUCCUGGGCUUCACUGUCCGGGACUCGGAGUCGGCGAGGAUACUUUGAGUAAAUUGGAGUGUUCAAAGCAGGCCUACGCUCUGAACAUUUUAGCAUGGAAUAUCACGAUAGGACUCUGGCCUAUCUUGUUGGUCUGUAGGACCGGAGUAAUGAUUAAGAGGGACAGUCGGGGGCAUUCGUAUUUCAUUGUCAGAGGUGAAAUUCUUGGAUUUAUGAAAGACGAACUACUGCGAAAGCAUUUGCCAAGGAUGUUUUCAUUAAUCAAGAACGAAAGU